rnacentral:rRNA from 1 species
UCAAGCGAAUAAGCGCACACGGUGGAUGCCUUGGCGGUCAGAGGCGAUGAAGGACGUGGCAGCCUGCGAAAAGUAUCGGGGAGCUGGCAACAAGCUUUGAUCCGGUAAUGUCCGAAUGGGGAAACCCACCCGCUUGCGGGUAUCCUGCAGUGAAUACAUAGCUGCUGGAAGCGAACCUGGUGAACUGAAAUAUCUAAGUAACCAGAGGAAAAGAAAUCAACCGAGAUUCCGUAAGUAGCGACGAGCGAACGCGGACUAGCCCUUAAGCUGAUUUGGUUCUAGGAAAACGCUCUGGAAAGAGCGGCCAUAGAAGGUGAUAGCCCUGUAUCUGAAAGGGCCAUUUCAGUGAAGACGAGUAGGGCGGGGCACGUGAAACCCUGUCUGAACAUGGGGGGACCAUCCUCCAAGGCUAAAUACUACUGACCGACCGAUAGUGAACCAGUACCGUGAGGGAAAGGCGAAAAGAACCCCGGAGAGGGGAGUGAAAUAGAACCUGAAACCGUGUGCGUACAAGCAGUAGGAGCUCCGCAAGGAGUGACUGCGUACCUUUUGUAUAAUGGGUCAGCGACUUACUGUUCGUGGCAAGCUUAACCGUAUAGGGGAGGCGAAGGGAAACCGAGUCUGAUAAGGGCGCAUAGUCGCGGGCAGUAGACCCGAAACCGGGUGAUCUAGUCAUGCCCAGGGUGAAGGUGCGGUAACACGCACUGGAGGCCCGAACCCACUCCCGUUGCAAAGGUAGGGGAUGAGGUGUGAUUAGGAGUGAAAAGCUAAUCGAACCCGGAGAUAGCUGGUUCUCCUCGAAAGCUAUUUAGGUAGCGCCUCAUAUGUAUCCUCUCGGGGGUAGAGCACUGUUAUGGCUAGGGGGUCAUCGCGACUUACCAAACCAUUGCAAACUCCGAAUACCGAGACGGACUGUAUGGGAGACACACGGCGGGUGCUAACGUCCGUCGUGAAAAGGGAAACAACCCAGACCCACAGCUAAGGUCCCAAAUUUUGUGCUAAGUGGAAAACCAUGUGGAAAGGCACAGACAGCCAGGAGGUUGGCUUAGAAGCAGCCACCCUUUAAAGAAAGCGUAAUAGCUCACUGGUCGAGUCGGUCUGCGGGGAAGAUUUAACGGGGCUAAGCACAGAACCGAAGCUUGGGGUGCAUAACUUUGUUAUGCGCGGUAGAGGAGCGUUCCGUAAGCCGUUGAAGGUGGAUUGAGAAGUCUGCUGGAGGUAUCGGAAGUGCGAAUGCUGACAUGAGUAACGAUAAUGCGGGUGAAAAACCCGCACGCCGAAAGCCCAAGGUUUCCUUGCGCAACGUUAAUCGGCGCAGGGUGAGUCGGCCCCUAAGGCGAGGACGAAAGUCGUAGUCGAUGGGAAGCAGGUUAAUAUUCCUGCACCUCGCGUAAGUGCGAUGGAGGGACGGAGAAGGUUAGGUGUACCAGGCGUUGGUUGUCCUGGGGAAAGGCGGUAGGUUUGGAUCUUUGGCAAAUCCGGGAUCCUCUAAGACCGAGCACCGAGACGAGCCUUUAUGGCGAAGUCACUGAUACCACGCUUCCAGGAAAAGCUCCUAAGCUUCAGCUUACGCAGACCGUACCGUAAACCGACACAGGUGGGUAGGAUGAGAAUUCUCAGGCGCUUGAGAGAACUCGGGUGAAGGAACUAGGCAACAUGGCACCGUAACUUCGGGAGAAGGUGCACCCUUUUUGGUGGCUCGUGCGAGCUAUAGCUGAAGAGGGUCGCAGUAACCAGGCCGCUGCGACUGUUUAUCAAAAACACAGCACUCUGCAAACACGAAAGUGGACGUAUAGGGUGUGACGCCUGCCCGGUGCUGGAAGGUUAAUUGAUGGGGUCAGCCGCAAGGCGAAGCUCUUGAUCGAAGCCCCAGUAAACGGCGGCCGUAACUAUAACGGUCCUAAGGUAGCGAAAUUCCUUGUCGGGUAAGUUCCGACCUGCACGAAUGGCGUAACGACAGCGGCGCUGUCUCCACCCGAGACUCAGUGAAAUUGAAAUCGCUGUGAAGAUGCAGCGUUCCCGUGGCAAGACGGAAAGACCCCGUGAACCUUUACUAUAGCUUUACACUGAACGUUGAGUUCGUCUGUGUAGGAUAGGUGGGAGGCUAUGAAACUGUGGCGCUAGCUGCAGCGGAGCCAUCCUUGAAAUACCACCCUGUCGUGCUUGACGUUCUAACCUGGGCCCAUUAUCUGGGUCGGGGACCGUGUAUGGUGGGUAGUUUGACUGGGGCGGUCUCCUCCUAAAGAGUAACGGAGGAGCUCGAAGGUACGCUCAGCGCGGUCGGACAUCGCGCACUGUGUGCAAAGGCAUAAGCGUGCUUGACUGCAAGAUCGACGGAUCAAGCAGGUAGGAAACUAGGACUUAGUGAUCCGGUGGUUCUGUAUGGAAGGGCCAUCGCUCAACGGAUAAAAGGUACUCCGGGGAUAACAGGCUGAUACCGCCCAAGAGUUCAUAUCGACGGCGGUGUUUGGCACCUCGAUGUCGGCUCAUCACAUCCUGGGGCUGUAGUCGGUCCCAAGGGUAUGGCUGUUCGCCAUUUAAAGUGGUACGCGAGCUGGGUUCAGAACGUCGUGAGACAGUUCGGUCCCUAUCUGCCAUGGGCGUUGGAGAUUUGAGAGGGGCUGCUCCUAGUACGAGAGGACCGGAGUGGACGAACCUCUGGUGUUCCGGUUGUCACGCCAGUGGCAUUGCCGGGUAGCUAUGUUCGGAAGCGAUAACCGCUGAAAGCAUCUAAGCGGGAAGCGCGCCUCAAGAUGAGAUCUCCCGGGGCACAAGCCCCCUGAAGGAACCAUGUAGACUACGUGGUUGAUAGGUCAGGUGUGUAAGUACAGCAAUGUAUUGAGCUAACUGAUACUAAUGAUCCGUGCGGCUUGACCAU